GUCCGUUCGGCGACAUCCAAUAAAAUUGGAACGAUACAGAUAAAAUUAGCCCCUACGCAAGAAUGACACAUACAAAUCGAGAAAUGGAUCCCUACGCAAGGAUGACAUACACAAAUCAAAAAAUGAUCCAAUUUUUU
rnacentral:snRNA from 2 species